rnacentral:rRNA from 1 species
UACGUAGGGGGCAGCGUUGUCCGGAUUUAUUGGGCGUAAAGAGCGUGUAGGCGGUCUGGUAGGUCCGUUGUGAAAACUCGAGGCUCAACCUCGAGACGCCGGUGGAAACCAUCAGACUAGAGUCCGGAAGAGGAGAGUGGAAUUCCGUGGUGUAGCGGUGAAAUGCGCAGAUAUCAGGAAGAACACCCGUGGCUAAGGCGGCUCUCUAGUACGGUACUGACGCUGAGACGCGAAAGCGUGGGGAGCGAACAGG